rnacentral:rRNA from 1 species
UACAGAGGGUGCGAGCGUUAAUCGGAAUUACUGGGCGUAAAGCGAGCGUAGUCGGUUAUUUAAGUCGGAUGUGAAAUCCCCGGGCUCAACCUGGGAAUUGCAUUCGAUACUGGAUAGCUAGAGUUCGGCAGAGGGAAGCGGAAUUUCGGGUGUAGCGGUGAAAUGCGUAGAUAUCCGAAGGAACAUCAGUGGCGAAGGCGGUCUCCUGGGGCAUUCUUGACGCUGAGGCGCGAAAGCUGGGGGAGCAAACGGG